UUUUUUAUUAAAAUAUAUAUUUUUUUAAUUGACUAUAAUAUUAAAAUAUUAAAAAAAGACCUAAGUCGGGUUCCCAGGUUGGGAUCGUCGACCCAAGCGCGGGAUUUUUUCCUUUCAAACGUAAAAGCCCAAACCAAUUUUUGGCCCGUUUCCACAAAAUAUUCCAGCCCAACGGCUACCCGGCCCACGCGUACAAACCCGGCCUAGGCAGAACCCUACCCGAACGACGAUCGGGUCCGACCCAACUCAGUUGCCGCGACCCGAAUCCUGAAAACCCUACGCGGAUCCGACCCGGUUGACGACCCGGUUCGUAAAAACCCUACCCGGAUAACGACCCGGCCUUCGAGACCUCCUCUGGUCGGCUCGUUCGGCGUCUUCUCCUCCGGCCGCCCUUCCUCCGACCGCGAGCUUUUGGAUCUAGGCGUGCGAGCGUUCGGGCCUCCCCUGAAGUCUCUCGGGGGAGGGUUUCUAAGCUCGCCUGCUUUCGAUCUUUACUCGCGUCGUCGGUGCCUUUGCCUUCCCCUCCGGUGCCCUAUUUAUAGGCGCGGAGGGGCCGGUCGGCGGUGGUUAGGCCGGCGGUCCCUGGUGUGCCGACCGGCCUUCCUCCGCCGGUCGAACCGGCGUCAGUUCUUCCCCAUCCACGGAGGCGUGCUGGCCUUCAAUGCCGCGUCCUCUCAGCCACCGGCAGAGGCUCCUCGCUCUGCCCUAGCUCGUCCUUCGCGCGU
rnacentral:lncRNA from 1 species